AGCAGUAGCCGCGGUAAUACGAAGGGGGCUAGCGUUGCUCGGAAUGACUGGGCGUAAAGGGCGCGUAGGCGGCGGCCAAAGUCAGGCGUGAAAUUCCUGGGCUUAACCUGGGGACUGCGCUUAAUACAGGCAGUCUAGAGUGAGGAAGAGGGUUGUGGAAUUCCCAGUGUAGAGGUGAAAUUCGCAGAUAUUGGGAAGAACACCGGUGGCGAAGGCGGCAACCUGGUCCUUGACUGACGCUGAGGCGCGAAAGCGUGGGGAGCAAACAGGAUUAGAUACCCCCGGUAGUCCCUGUCUCUUAUA
rnacentral:rRNA from 1 species